GAUGAAGAACGUAGCGAAAUGCGAUAAGUAGUGUGAAUUGCAGAAUUUAGUGAAUCAUCGAAUCUUUGAACGCAUAUUGCGCCCGCCAGCACUCUGGCGGGCAUGCCUGUUCGAGCGUCAUUUCAACCCUCAGGCAUCGCGUCUGGCGUUGGGGCGCUGCGGCCCUCCCGCAGGCCCCCAAAUCUAGCGGCGGAUCCGCCGCGGCCCUGAGCGCAGUAGUUUGACUCGAACGCUCCGGCGGCCGUGGCGCGGUUCUGCCUCCCGCCCCAUAGCGCCGAUGGCGCUACUCCCAAAAGUUGACCUCGGAUCAGGUAGGACUACCCGCUGAACUCAAGCAUAUCAAUAAGCGGAGGA
rnacentral:misc_RNA from 1 species